rnacentral:lncRNA from 1 species
UAAUACUAGUAGAACCUAUAAAAAUAAAUUAGAAUAUUUUACCUGCGGUAGCAUAGAGCACUUAGCAAAUACUUGUUAAAAAAGAAUCAAUAAUAGAUCUAGGAAUGCACAAUUAAUAGAAGAUGUAAAGAAAAAUUUAAUAAAUGUAGACGAAUAUAUGUUAGAUAAUGAAAGUAUAUACUCUAUUAGAAGUAUGGAAGUCUUUGAAGAAAAAAUAAAUAAAUCUGAUUUUUCAGAUUCUGGAGAAAAGGAAUUUAUAAAUGAAAUAGGAUUAGAAAAGACAAACUCAGAUUAUUAUGAUUUAAUAAAUUUGAUAGAAGAAUGUGAACAUAAAUUUGAGGAAGGAAAAUGAUUAGACAGUAAUCAGUGUUGUUUUUGUAAAUGAUUUCCAAGUAAAAACAAAAGAAAAAAAUGUAGGAAAUGUUACAAGGAAGGAUGCAUAAAAUGUUAUAAGGCAGGAUGCAUAAAAUGUAUAAAGAAGGCAUCAGAAAUCUUAGAAACUCCAAAAUUAACCUGUAAUUUAAAUAAAUUUUACAACAAAGAACCAAUAACUAGAACAACAGAAGACAAAAUAGUAGAAUUAGAAGAAAGACUAAGAAAAUUAGAGAUAAGAGUGUAUAACAAAAAGAUAAUUAGAGAAGAAGAUUUAGUAGAGGUAGAAUUAUUAAAUACAUUUGUUGAAAAUAAUAAAGUUAAACAUAAAAAAUCAAUGAAUUUACCAUUUGAAGGAAUAGUAUGUAAUGAAGAAAAGAAGAUAAGUACAGUCAAAGUUUUAGCAAAAAUAAAAAUUCAAGACUAUGAGUUCCAGACAUUAGCUAUAGUUGAUUCAGGAUGUAUAAAAAGCAUUUUAAAUAGUAGAAUUUUACCAUCAAAAUUCAUUAAAAAAUUGUCAAAACCUCAACUAUCCAUGCAAAUGGACGGAAUCUAUACUACCUAUACAGACUAUAUACCAAGAGAAAGGGUAAGUUUUAUUAAUCCUUGUGAAAAAUUCUACCAACCAUCAUAUACACUCAGUGAAAUACUAGUUAGAGAUUUAAACAUAAAAACAAACUUUGUCUUAGGAUUAGAUUUUAUGAUACAAAAUAAUGGCGGAUGUCUUGUUACGAAAAAUUGGAUAAUAUUUGCUAGUGAUAUCACUCACUCACCAGUGCAGACAUAACCCCUGCUAACUAAAUAUCAUUUCCUUAAAGAUAAGACAAAAGAAAGAAUCGAAAGCUCAAAUGAUCAAAUAAAAUCAAAAAAAAUCCUAGAAUGUGAUAAAGGAGAAAAUUGCACUUGUAGUGAUAAGAUAACAAUGUAUGAAGAAUUACAAGAUUUAUUAGUAGUAGAAGAAAUAGAAAAAGACUAUACUUUAAUAGAAAUAGAUACAAAAUUAUACAAUUUUAAGAAGGGUAUACAACAGAUAGGAGUAAUAAAAGAUCAAAAAGACUUAUAAAAAAUAAUACAAAUUUUAGAUAAGCUAGAGAUAAUCGGAGAAAAACCCUGCAACAUUGGGACUCCAAUCAAAUUACCUGUAAAUUAGAAAUAAUUAAUUCAGAAUAUACUAUAAAAACAUCUAUAGAGUCUACAAAUGAAGACCUUAAAGACUUCGAAAUACAAAUAAAAGAGCCAUUAGAAUUAGGAAUAAUUAGAAGAUCUACAUCAAGACAUAGGUCAGCAACUUUCAUAGUAAGAAACCAUAGUAAAAUAAUAAGAGAAAAAGAUAGAAUGGUAAUAAAUUACAAAAGACUAAAUGAUAAUACUGUAAUGGAUGGGUAUAAGUUACCAGACAAAACAAAAUUAAUAAAUAGAAUACAAGGAAGAAAAGUAUUUAGUAAAUUUGAUUGUAAAUCUGGAUAUUGGCAAAUUAAAAUGCAUGAAGAUAGUAUAGAAUGGACAGAUUUCACAUGUACAGAAGGACAUUUUGAAUGAUUGGUCAUACCGUUCGGAUUAAAGACGACUCCUCCAAUUUUUCAAAGAAAAAUGGAUAGUAUUUUUGGAGGUUAUAAAAAUUUUGUAUUGAUUUAUGUAGAUGAUAUUCUAGUUUUUAGUAAUAAUAUGAGAGAACAUUUAGGAUAUUUACAACAAGUCUUUAAAUUAUUUGUAGAUAAUGAAAUAAUAAUAAGUAGAAAGAAAAUAGAAUUCUGUAAAAAUAGUAUUAAUUUUUUAGGAGUAGUUAUUGGAGAUGGCAGAAUAAAAUUACAACCACACAUAGCUAAAAAAGUAUUAGAAAUGCCACAUAGAUUAGACAAGACUAAAGAUUUACAAAAUUUUUUAGGACACUUAAAUUAUGCUAGCGCUUUUAUAAAAGACUUAGGAAAAGUAGUAGGACCGUUAUAUUCUAAAACAGGAUUAACAGGCCAAAAAACCUUUAAUACUGAAGACAUAAAAUUAGUCCAACAACUUAAAGCAUGAUACAAGACAUCCCAGACUUAACGUUACCAUAAGAAAUAGAUUAUUUAAUAGUUGAGACAGACGGAAGCCUUCAAGGAUGGGGAGCAAUAUUAAAAGCAUAGCCUAAUAAAUAUAGUGACAAAAAGGAUGAGAAAAUAUGUACUUAUUCAAGUGAAAAAUAUAAAGAAAAUGGUAAAAUAAAUAGCAUAGAUGCGGAGACACUAACAGUAAUUUAUGAUUUGAAUAGUUUUAAACUUUAUAUAUUAAAUAAGACAGAAAUAUUAGUAAGAACAGACUGCGAGUCCAUAGUAAAAUUCUAUCAAAAAAUAAAAGAGAAGAAUAGUAGUAAAAGGAGGUGGCUAAAUUUCCUAGAUGCCACUUCAAUUUAUAAUAUUGUUCUAGGACAUAUUAAAAGUAAAGAUAAUAACCUAGUAGAUCAGGUAAGUAGACUAAUAAAAGAACACAACUAAGAAUUUUUGUUUCAGUAUGUAUACAGACAAAAACAAAGGAAAUGCGUCAUCCUCUCAAGACUACUUAAAAAAAUUACUAAGCAACACUCGUUACAGACCACUAACAAUGUUAGAACAUCCAAAAUUAGAAAGACUGGUUCGAGCCUCCUAAUCUAGCCAGUUAUGAGCCAUCCAAUCUGACUUUCAAAUUAAAACCAGAUGUAAGGGUGGACAAAUGACAGAUUUGCCUGAUCGACAACUUAUGGAUCUCCUACAACUAGACACCAAAAGACAUUAAUACUUUAUUUCAGUGCUGAAUGCUUUAAUUUAUUAUUUUACUGAGAAAAAUAGCACUAACAAAUUUAAAUUUUAUGUUGUUAUUAGGGGAAAGACACAAGGAGUAUUUCAGACAUGGACAGAGGUAAUGGAUUUUGUAAAAGACUAUACAUCCCGUCUCUAUAAAGGCUUUGAAAAUUUAACAGAGGCUUUAGAUUAUGCCCGUAUAAAUUUAGGGCUAAAUUAAUUUAUUACCCCAGCUUUAAGACUAGAAAUGCAAAAAAUUUCUCAAUAUAAUAUUAAAAAAGACACGAACAAAAUUAUAUUUUGUGAUCAUUGUUCCUCUAUGACUGAAGGUUUUAGAAAACUAAAUCAUGCCAAUGAGAUUUUAAGACAGGAUAAUGAAAACCUUGUAAAUGAAAAAGGACAAAUGUUAGAACAUAUAAGUAUUUUACAAGACCGUGUAAAAAUUCUUCAUUUUAAACUUUCACAACAGACUCAGCCAAUUUAUGAGACUCAAAAAAUUCUAAAUAAUUCUCCAUCUUCUUCAAAAAUGAAAAAAACCCACUGUCGGGUAAAGAUACAACUAGUCCAACUCAAACGGUAGCUGGUAAAGACUUAUCAAAUUUGUUAAUGGGUGUGCAUACCCCAACGAAUGUAGAAAUACCUAAUGUAUCGGGUAAUCAUACAGCUAGUCCAGCUCAAACGGUAGCUGGUAAAGACUUAUCAAAUCUGUUGAUGGCUGACACUUUGCCAAAAAGUUUAGGGAGAAUACUCCCAGCCAGUUUCAAGAACACAGGUACUCAGACCACAGAUGAAAGAAGUCCUUCUCAGACUAAGAAAGGUUUUUUCUUUAGAAAAAAGAAAGAUGAAAAAAGAAAUAUAGAAAAAUGGUAGUAGACUCUAUAAAAAAAUUGUUAGCAGAACAACUGCCCAAAAAAUAGCAAUGAAUCCAGAACCGCCAGAGCUAAGACCCAAAAUUUCCAAGAGAAGAGACAAGAUCACUUUGAACAGGAACAAGACUGGGACUAUCAGACGGAGACAGUGAAGAGUAUGAACAAGACUACAACUCAGCCAUGGAUCAAUUUGCACAAGACCCAAAUAUCGAUAAAUAUUCAGUAAUGGAGUUUGAUUUAGAAGCAUUACACAAUCUAGAUACGUAAGCAAUGACAAUAUCUACUAAAUACAAAAUUACAGACGUAUACGAUGAUGUAACAUAUAAAUAAAUAAACGGAUAAAGUAAAGACAUAGCCAUGUGAUUGUGGGCCCCACCCAAGUUUCCAAAAGUCUUGCUAAAGUCUUAUAAAAUAUAAAUGGAUUUGAAAUCCAUAAAGUGUAUUUGAAGUCCACAAAUGCCUAUAAAUACUCCCCUUUGGAAGACUUAAACAUAAGUAGCUAGACAGAAAAACAUAAGUAGCUAGACAGAAAAAAUCAAGAGUGAGAAAGUAAUUAGUUUUUCAUGAAGUUCUUAGUUUCCAAAGUUUGUAAGAUAGUUCUUCAUAAAAAAAAAAAGAGAAUGUGUAAAAAGGUCUAUAAUAGUUUCUUAGUUCUUCAUUUUUCGGUAGCUGUCAAGUUUUCAGGGGACUCCCGAAAGAAAAACCUAGCUUCUUCCUUAAGACAUGUAAGUAGUCGUUACAUAGAUCUUUGUAUUUUUCUCCCAAAUUUGUAAAUUAAGUUUGAAUUAAUCAAGUUCAUAUUUUAUUUCAACUGUGUUUUUAAUAUUAUAAGAUUUGGAUCGCCGAUGGUUUACCGCCAGUUUUCCGAUCUUGUAAAAUUCAUUACUUAUUAAUACGUAUUUAAUUAUUAGUAGAUGUGUACAUAUUUAAUUGUUAGAAGAUGUGUCUUUAAUAUUGUAAUACCCCGUACUUCUACCUAGCUUAAAUUUGUCCCGAAGAUGUCAAAGACAAGCUUUAAAGAUGAAUACACUUUUAUAUAUGUGGAAUUUUCAAGAUUUUCACUUUUUAUUGUGUGGGAAAUUGAAUAAGCUUUCCAUCUAUACUGAAUUCGCCUAAGUCCAAUAACCGGGUAAGAAGUUAUGGCGAUUUAAAGUUUAAGUCAUAAAACACCAUCAUUUCAGCCAGUGGCGCAUCGCUCCAUAAGCCAAAAUAACAUUUAUUAGUUUCUAGUAAGACUCCGUGAUUACACCAUGUUGCGGAGGACUCCUAAAUCCCAAUUGUCCUUUUUCCAGUGAACCUCCGCGAUGUCGUCGCGUCGCACCAAACUUCUAGAUCGCAAAUAAAGUGGCAACGCGACAGCUCUGCGUCGCGCCAUCUCCCAAUUUCCCUGUUGUCAAUUUCCAGAGACACGGCGCUAUAGCGCCGCGUCGCGCCAGCCUGCCAAAUUGGGAAAUUUUAAUGAAAAAUAAAUAUUUCAUCCAGGGAUGGAUUGGUCUUUUCCCAAGGUUUUAACACGUCCACGUGCGGUAUUUAAUCCCUAAAAAUGUUUCAAAUCAUUAUUUACUCACUUUUUUUCCCCAAAUCAAGAACAUUCUCUCUCAAGAAACAAAACCCUAGCUUUCAAGAAAUCAAAGUCAAUUCCGAGAAUCUCUCCAAGAAUUUUAAGAAACUUACAAUCAAGGUAUGUCAAGUGUUGAUUCAUGGGCCUCUUUCACCCAUGAAACUCAAGAAUCUCUUUUUCAAAGUUCAAGUAUAUGAAUUUUUAUGAAUCCCAUGUUGGGUUUUGUAAUACCACGAGAAUUCCAACCGAUAGUAGAACCAUGCUUCAAGAUCAUGAAAAAUAAAUUAUAGUGAUUUGGUAGUUUUAUGAUCAAGUUAGAUAUAUAUUAAGGCCUCAAAUACGUCCUACCUACUGGACGAAUCAAAACAUCCCUCAUUAUACUAUGAAUUUUUGAUAUCAUGACCCACCAAAAUAUAUAUAUAUAUAUAUAAUUGAAUUAUCUUUUCAAAGAUACCUAUUUUGCCAAAAUCCAACAUCGGAGUAAAAAGUUAUGACCAUUUUAUUGAGAGCUGUCCGAGCUGUCUAGGAGCGACGAUCAAAAUGACGGACUGUCAAGUCAGUGAUGGACCAUUGAUUUGGCCAUCAAAACUGAAGCAGUAAGGCCAUUUUCUGGACCAAAAAUGACGGUUGGAGUGACGUUAGUCACUAGAGUGAUGGUCCGUCACUCAGACCGUUAAUUUUGCCCGAAACAGUGCUGAAACAUCGUUUUAAAGAGAUUUUUGGGUCUUUUUCCACCCUGUUUAACACCCAAUCACAUCAAAUCAAAGAACAUAACUCCUCGUUCAUCCAUAACAUCAAAUUAAGGUUUCUUUCAAGAUCAAAACCCAAGAACAAGAUUCAAAUCCUUCUUCAAGAAUCUAAGAUAUUCAAGUUCUCCAAACUCAAGAACAAGAACAUUCUCUCCAAAAAGGGUUAAACCCUAUUCAAGAAAAAUCAAGAGCAAGCCUAAGGAUUUCUUCAAGAACCUUCAAGAAACAUUAGAUCUCUUUCAAGAUCAAGCUUUAAGGUGUGCGUAGUGUUUAUCCAUGGAUCCCUUUCAUCCAUAGAGCUCAAGAAUCAUGUUUUAAAUUAUAAAUUGUGAUUUUCUUGUUGUGUUAUGGCUUUAUUCAUGUUGAUGAUUAUUUUUUGAGUUCAAGGUUGUAUCUUGAUAUGUUUUCACGAAGCAUAUAAGUAGGAUCGUUGUAACCCAUGAAUUUUGGAUGGAUUAAGAUUGUUAUGUUGAUAAAUAUACCUAUGCCCAAAAUUUUGCAUGUAAGGUGCUUGAUGAAAUGCCUAAGAAACUAGAUAUCAUGCAAUAUAGCUAAAUAGUGACUAGGUGAAGGAUUCAUGAUAUGCCCUUAUGUUCCAAUAAUUUUCAUGUUGAUAUUGUGUCUUGUAAAUAAUGUUGGAUUGUUCAUGAACUAGUCUUAUGAGAUUAUGCUAUACUUACUUGCAAAAAAUCCUACUUAUGUAAAAGAUGUAUGAUAACCAUGUACUUUAUGAAAUUUCCCAUGUUAUGAUAUUAUGGAUUGUUGAUGUUGGUCAUGCAUUCAAGAAAUUCAUGUUUGUCAGUUUCCUUCUAUCGAGUCCUGGGGGUACUCAUACCCGAAAAAUAUAGCUGUGUGCCUAGAGCCAUCUCAUGUUAUCAUGAUACUCUCAGUCAAGCCAUGAUCCAUAGAAUUCAGUCAGUCAUGUGACUCAGAAAUCUCAGUAGUUCAGUAAUCUCAGUAAUCUCAGCUAGUUAUCAAGUCUCAGUAAGUAUUCAGUUCAGAACCUCAGUAACCUCAUCAACUAGUAAAGUUCAGCCUUAUUCAGAUAGAAAGUAGAAUUCAACAGUAUUCCAAGUAAAAUCUCAAUAACUACAGUACUCUCAGUCAAUCCUCAGACAUCAGUACAUUUCUUUAGUCAACGAAACUUAGUAAACUCAUUUUAGCUCUGCUAAACAAUCCUACUAACAUCAGUUCAGCUAGUCACUUUAGUUCAGUUAAUCAGUUUAGCUCAGCUAAUCAGUUCAGUGUCUUUCAGUUGGGAGUAGGAUUCAGUACCGAGUGAGCCUAGGGAUGGGGACUCACCCGCUAGAUAGGACUGAGAUCCCUAGAAGAAAUCCCUAAGUUCCAGAACUACUUAUCCAGCAUAGUUUGAGAUGUCCCUACAGAUAGGGCUAAUGCAUCUCAUUUGAGUUUACCUGAUAGCAAGGGCAGACAGAAAGAGCUCCCAAAUAGAAUAGGGUUUACUCACAUGUUGUCUCUAUUCGUGGCACGGUAUUAACACCCUUCCAGAUGGGGUUACAGGUUGGACCCCACCAGUUUAGAUUCGAGGUAUGUCGGUUAGAUGGCUACUUCCCAUAGUCUCAAUUUCAGUCUCAUUCUUAGUCUCAGUAAAAGAAAUCAGAUAGUUCUUCAAAUUUCAUGAGUGUCAGCUAUAGUUAACUCAAAUACAGUAUGAAACUCAGUUAGUUCCAUCAAAUUUAGGACAUUCAGAUAUAGUCACUCAUGUUAUCAGUUAUAUCAGUUAUCAGAACUCAUAUUAUCAGUAUUCACAUUCAUAACUGUCAGAUAUGGUCAAGCAUAUCAGUUCUUCAUAUUUAUGUUUGUCAGAUACAGUCAAUCAAAUUAAUUCUUUAUAAUUAAACUAUUAGAUACAGUCAACCAAUCAAGUUCUUUAUAAUCAGAACUGUCAUAAAUAGUUAUUCAUGUAUCAGUAAUAUCGUUUUAGUUUUUCAGGAUUCAACAACACAGUAUCGAUUCCCUAUUUAUUAAUGGCUUAUAUAUCAAUAUCAGUAAACUCAAUCAAUCAGUAUCUCAGUAUCAGUAAGCUCAUGUUGUCAGUAUUCAGACUCAGUAGACAGUAUCUCCGCAGUUCAGUUAUAGUUACGUAUGCAUGUAUGUAUUCUCACGUUCAUGAUAGUCGGUUAGCUAGUAUUAUUCAUGCAUAUGAACCCUAUUGCGUUUAGCCUACCUCAUUUGCAUACUAGUACAUUCAAAGUACUGACGCAUUUAUGCUUUGGUGUCUUAUACCGUAGGUUUAGAAGCACGAGCUCCAGAUCAUCAGUAGCAUUCCAGAUUUAUACAGACAGAGUCAGCAGUGAGUCUUCAUCAUUCGAGGAUGAUAGUAUUUGAUUAGUUCAUUCUUUCUUUCAGUAGAUAGAGUUAGAUGGAAACAUGUCCCAUCAACUUCUUAUUCAGACAGUUUAGAGGCUUUUAUACUAUAACAUCUCAGACAAUUAUUUCAGAUUUGUAUUGGUAUUGUUAUACCAUUUUCAAACAUUAUUCUUAUCAGAUGUUAUGUUUAUUCAGAGUUAAAACUUAUGGCCAGUCAGUACAUAUUUCCGUAUUUUUCAGUAUUUUAUGCAGUAUACAGGUAUAGAUAUCAAUCAUGGGUUAGCUUGUGGUCCUUCGGGGUCAUGAGCACCACGUAGCAUUUUGGUUCAGAAAAUCAAGAUGUUACAGGUUUGUAUUUGUUCAUGUUGAUAAUGACCAAUUGAAUUCUAAUCCAUGUUUGGUGAUAAAUUUUAUGUGGAAUUAGUUAUUUAUGAAUAGAUUUAUGUGAACCCAUGAUUAAACCCUUGAAUUGUGAAAUUAGAAUUGAAUCAUGAUGUUUACUUGUUGUGCAAUGUUGUCUACAUAUACUAUGUUCAUUAUGUGCUUGAUGAAUUGCCUAUAUGAACUAAUAAGAGAAGAAACCAUACCAUGAUUAGUUUAUGUGCAAGUUUUUGAUAAAUUAUCCAUGAGAAUUGAUUAAUGCCACGAUAUAGUAUGCAAUUAUGUAUUCCCAAUUCAUGUACAAGUGAUACACCCCAAGUGUUCGUUGAAAUGUCUUAAUGAAUGAAUCAUGAGUAUAUAGCCAUUGUUGGGCUUUUAGGUUUGCAUCAUGAUUUACAUAUUAUGCUAUCGAGUCCUGGGGGUAUCUAAUAUCCAAAAAUUUAGUUGUGUGCCUAAAGCCAGUGUCAUGUUUUCAUGAUAUCUUCAGUUAAGCCAUGUUCAGUAGAAUUCAGUCGGUCAUGUGACUCAGGAAAAUACAGUAAUCCCAGUAAUCUCAGUGCUUCAGUAAUAUCAGUAGUAUUCCGUCAGUCAACGGAACUCAAUGAACUCAGUACAGUUCAGUUCAGUUAAUCAUGUUCAGUGUCUAUUUAGAUGGGAGUAGGAUUUAAUACUGAGUAAACCUAAGGAUGAGGACACACACUGACAGUGGAGGGUGUGAUCCUUAGAAGCAAUCUUUGCGUUCCAAAACUAUGUGGCCAGCAUAGGUUGAGACAUCAACACUGACAGAUGAGGGUUGAUGAGGUGGAUAAACACUAUUAGAUGAGGAUCCCACCAUUCUCUUUUGGGGACACUAUCAAAUGAGGGUCAUCCACAGCUUGUGUUUAUUAGUGGUGUAGCAUUGACACCCUUCCAAUUGGUGUUAUAGAUUGGACCCCAACCUAGCUAUAUUGCUUUAUUUGGGGUAUGUCGGUUAGAUGAAUACUUCCCACAGUUACAGUUUCAGACUCAGUCUCAGUAAUAGAAAUCUGAUUGGUCUUCAAAAUUUUAGGACUGUCAGAUACAGUCAACUCAGAACAGUACGAAACUCAGUUCCAUCAGAACCUAGACUGUUAGGUACAGUCGCUCAGUAUCAGUUAUAUCAGUUAUCAGUGACUCAUGCUAUCAGUAAUCAGACUCAGUUGUUAGUACCAUCACAAAUUUAGUCACAAUUACUUAUUCAUGCAUGUAUUAUCAUGUUCAUGUUAUUCAGUCAGUUAGCAUUGUUCAUGCAUUUGAACCUUUUGCAUUCAGCCUACCUCACUUCCAUACCAGUAUAUUCAAAUGUACUGACGUAUUUGUGCUAUGGUGUUUUAUACCAUAGGUUCAAAAGCACGAGCUCCAGAGCAUCAGUAGCAUUCCAGUUUUAGCAGUCAGAGUUAGUAAUGAGUCCUCAUCCUUCGAGGACAUGAUCAUUACUUAGUUUAUUUUAGUAGUUAGAGUUAGUUGGGGACAUGUCCCAUAAACUCCUUAUUCAGACAGUUUAAAGGCUUUCAGACUACAAUGUUUUCAGACUAAAUAUUUUCAGACAUUGUUUCAGUUUUGGUAUUGUCGUACCAUAUUAUUCAUAUAAGGUUUUAUCAGAUAUUUAUCAAUUUUGAACUAUCAGUAAUCAGACUCAGUUGUUAGUACCAUCACAAAUUUAGUCACAAUUACUUAUUCAUGCAUGUAUUAUCAUGUUCAUGUUAUUCAGUCAGUUAGCAUUGUUCAUGCAUUUGAACCUUUUGCAUUCAGCCUACCUCACUUCCAUACCAGUAUAUUCAAAUGUACUGACGUAUUUGUGCUAUGGUGUUUUAUACCAUAGGUUCAAAAGCACGAGCUCCAGAGCAUCAGUAGCAUUCCAGUUUUAGCAGUCAGAGUUAGUAAUGAGUCCUCAUCCUUCGAGGACAUGAUCAUUACUUAGUUUAUUUUAGUAGUUAGAGUUAGUUGGGGACAUGUCCCAUAAACUCCUUAUUCAGACAGUUUAAAGGCUUUCAGACUACAAUGUUUUCAGACUAAAUAUUUUCAGACAUUGUUUCAGUUUUGGUAUUGUCGUACCAUAUUAUUCAUAUAAGGUUUUAUCAGAUAUUUAUCAAUUUUGAACCUUAUGACAUAUUUUAGCCUACUAUUUCCGCAUUUAUAUAGUAUAUUAUGCAGUGUUUAGGUAUAAUAUCAGUCGUGGGUUAGCUUAUGGUCCUUCAAGGUCAUGAGCACCGUGUAGCAUUCUGGGUACCAGAUGCGGGGCAUUACAAACUUGGUAUCAGAGCCUAAGGUUUAAUAAAGUCCUAGGAAGUCUGAAAGCCGCAUCUAGUAGAAUCUUGUACAUGAGUGUGUUGCGCAUCACAUUUAUGUGCAGGAGGCUAUGAGAUAUUUUAGAAAUAGUUUCCCUUCUUUCAGUAUUCAUGUUGUGCCAGUGAGCGUGAGCUCAAAUUUAACUCUCAGUCUAAUCUAUUUCUCCCUUUCUUCCACAGAAUAUGCCUCCCAAAAGAAGAAACAGAAAUCAGUCAGCCCCUCAGCCCAUCCAAGCAGAUCCCUUAGAAGAACACGUUUCUCAUGCAGAGUUCAGAACUGCAUUCACCACUCUUUCUAAUUUAGUUGCUUCUCAGAAUAAAUGACCAACUAUUAUUUCAGCCAACCCAGUGGCCAAUUCAGCUGCAGCCAAGAUUUGGGACUUCACCUGAAUGAAUCCUCCAUCUUUUUUCGGGUCUAAGUCAGAAGAGGAUCCUCAGGAGUUCUUAGAUCAGGUUCAGAAAGUUACGGACAUCAUGGGGGUUAAUUCUAGUAAGAGUGCCGAGCUAAUUGCAUAUCAGUUGCAGGAUAUUGUGCACACUUGGUUUAAAUAGUAGAAGUCAGAGAGGUCAGUUUAUGUAGGGCCUAUUGAGUGGGAGGAGUUUGUCACUGCAUUCUUAGAUAGAUUCUUUCCCCAAGAGAUGAGAGAAGCUAGGUGUCAGAAUUUAUCAAUCUUAGGCAGGGCAACAUGACGGUGAAAGAGUAUUCUCUUAAGUUACUCGAUUAGCCAGAUAUGCUCCUCAUGUGGUUGCAGAUAGCAGGGCCAAGAUGAGUAAGUUUGUUUCUGGGGUAAAUGAUAGUGUGGUCAAUGUGUACAGGUCUGCAAUGUUAAAUAGUGAUAUGAACAUAGCCAGGCUUAUGACCCAUACUCAAUAGAUAGAAAAGAAAAAGAUUAAGAUGAGAGAGAGGCAGAAUAAGAGACCAAAGAUAGGUAGUUUCAACUUUGCUCAGCCUAAGUCAGAGAAAGGAAACUAUUCUUAGCUCCACCCAAAGUCAUCCGUUCCUGCUCCUUUCUCAGCCAGUGCUCCAGUUCCUAAGUUAUGGGAAGGUAACAAAGAUAGGGCACCAAGCUCUAAAUCUCAGGGCAGUAUUGGCAGUGCCCGAACCAAUUCUCUUUGCCAGACUUGUGGUAAGAGCCACAAACGUACUUACAAAGCUGGCAAUGAUGUCUAUUUUGGAUGUGGCAAGCCAGGCCAUAGAGUCAAAGAUUGUCCCCAGUCAGGUUAUCAGGGUCAGUAGAACCGUUCCUCAGCCCAGUUUGGUCCUCCAAAUUAGUAGGGUGCCACUUCCAAUUUUACUAGAGGGCAACGCCUAAACAGACUUUAUGCUCUUCAAUCCCUACAAGAUCAGGAAAAUUCUCCUGAUGUAGUUACUGGUACGUUACCGAUCUUUUACUUGCAUGUUUAUGCUUUGCUAGAUCCAGGAGCUUCUUUAUCUUUUGUUACUCCUUAUGUAGCAGUUGAUUUCAGAGUCAGUUCCAAAAUUCUAACAGAUCCCUUCUCAGUAUCUGCCCUAGUAGGUAAAACCAUCAUAGCCUGACGGGUAUACAGGAACUGCCCGAUUAUGAUAUUUCAGAAAGUCACUUCAGCAAACUUAGUCGAAUUAGAGAUAACUGAUUUUGAUGUCAUUAUCAACAUAGAUUGGCUUUAUUCCUGCUAUGCCACAGUCGACUGAUGAAACAGAAUAGUCCAGUUCCAGUUUUUGAAUGAACCUUUCCUAGGGUGAAGGGGUAGUACUUCAGCUUUCAGAGGUCAGCUUGUUUUCUAUCUUUGGCAUGGAAAAUGAUAUAUAAGGGAUGUGUCUGUCAUCUUGUUCAUGUUAAGGAUUCUAGUUCCGAGACUCCCAAUCUUGAAUUAGUCCCAGUCGUGAGUGAAUAUUAAGAUAUCUUUCCCAAAGAUCUUCUAGGAAUUCCUCCCGAAAGGGAAAUAGACUUAGGCAUUGAUAUUCUUCCAGAUACUCAGCCCAUAUCUAUUCUGCCAUACAAAAUGGCACCAGCAGAACUCAAAGAACUGAAAGAGCAGUUGAAGGAUCUCUUAGAUAAGUGAUUCAUCAGACCCAGUAUGUCCUCAUGGGGCACACCAGUCUUAUUCGUGCACAAGAAAGAUGGUUCUCUCAGAAUGUGCAUUGAUUACUGUCGGCUCAAUAAAGUCAUUGUCAAGAACAAGUAUCCACUUCCCCGAAUUGACUACUUGUUUGACCAACGUUAGGGUGCCAACUAUUUCUCUAAAAUAGACCUCGGAUCAGGAUAUCAUCAGCUCAGAGUCAGGGAAUGUGACAUUCUGAAAAUAACUUUUCAAACUCAGUAUGGUCACUUUGAAUUUCUAGUCAUGUCCUUUGGUCUUACCAAUGCCCCUGCAUCUUUCAUGGACUUUAUGAACCAUGUGUUCAAGAAGUACUUGGAUUUGUUCUUUAUAGUCUUUAUUGAUGAUAUCUUUGUCUAUUCCUGUAGUGAGCGUGAUCACACAGACCAUAUCAGAAUCAUACUUUAGAUUCUCAGAGAUCAUUAGCUAUUCUCCAAAUUUAGUAAGUGCAAAUUUUAUCUAAGGUCAGUAACAUUCCUUGGUCAUAUCAUUUCCGGUGAUGGCAUUAGAGUUGAUCCUCAAAAGACCAAAGUAGUAAGAAACUGGCCUCGCCCUAUCUCUCCAUCAGAUAUUAGGAGUUUCUUAGGUUUGGCUGGCUAUUACAGACAGUUUGUUGAGGGAUUUUCUUCUAUUGCAUCCCCUAUGUCUAGAUUGACCCAGAAGAAAGUCAAGUUUUAGUGUUCAGAUCCUUGCGAGAAAAGUUUUCAGGAGUUCAAAACUCAACUCACCUCAGCUUCGAUUUUGGAUCUUCCAGACAAUCCAGAUGGGUUCGUAGUGUACUGCGAUGCCUCUAGAGUAGGUUUGGGUUGUGUCCUCAUACAACAUGGUAAGGUCAUAGCCUACGGCUCCAGACAGCUUAAACCCCAUGAGAAGAAUUAUCCUACUCAUGAUCUUGAGUUAGCGGCCAUAGUAUUUUCCUUAAAAAUUUGGAGGCAUUAUCUAUAUGGAGUUCAUGUAGAUGUGUUCACAGAUCAUAAGAGCCUUCAGUAUGUCUUUUGUCAGAAAGAUCUCAAUCUUCGUCAGAGAAGAUGGUUGGAGCUCUUGAACGAUUAUGACAUGAGUGUCCUUUAUCAUCCGGGAAAGGCCAACGUAGUGGCCGACACUCUCAGUAGACUGUCUAGGGGUAGUAUUGCUCAUGUUGAGGACGGUAAAAAAAAGUUAGCUCAAGAAGUCUAUCAGCUUACCAGACUAGGUGUUCACUUAGCCAAUACAGAGAAAGGUGAUAUAUGGGUUCAGAGUAGUUCAAAAUCAUGUCUAGUUUCUGAGGUAAAAAAAAAGCAAGAUAGAGAUCCCAGUCUAGUAAAGUUGAAAGAGCCAGUCAAGGAUCAGAAGGUUGAGGUUUUCUCCCAAGGGGGAGAUGGUGUAUUGUGUUGUCAGGGUUGUCUGUGUGUUCCAGGUAUAGAUGAUUUGAGGCAGCAAAUUCUUGCAGAAGCGCAUGGUGAGUGCUACUUUUUUCAUCCAGAGUCUACAAAAAUGUACCGCAACUUGCGGGAGAUCUAUUGGUGGAGUGAGAUAAAGAGAGAUAUGGCAGAGUUUAGGGCUAUGUGCUCUACGUGUCAGCAGGUUAAGAUAGAGCAUUAGAAGCCUAGUGGGUCCAUACAAGAGUUCAAUAUUCUUACUUGGAAGUGGGAAGAAGUGAACAUGGACUUUGUGAUGGGUUUGCUCAUACUCGUCAUCAACAUGAUUCAGUUUGGGUCAUUGUAGAUAGGAUGACCAAAGUAACUCAUUUCCUUCCAGUCCAUACCUCUUAUUCAACCGAGGAUUAUGCGAAACUCUACAUCAGAGAGUUGUCAGAUUGCAUGAUUUUUCGUUAUCUAUUAUCUCAGACAAAGGUACCCAGUUCACCUUUCAUUUUUGGAAAGCAUUCCAAAAGGGUCUUGGUACCCAAGUUAAUCUCAGUACAACCUUCCAUCCUCAGACAGAUGGUCAAGCAGAAAGGACCAUUCAGACUUUUGAAAAUAUGCUGCGAGCAUUUGCAAUUGAUUUCAAGGGUAGUUGGGAUGACACUUGUCUUUGAUUGAGUUUUCAUAUAACAACAACUAUCAUUCCAGGGUAGAAGGUACAGAUCUUUAGUUGGUUGGUUUGAAGUUAGUGAGGCCUCAAUUAUAGGGCCUGACUUAGUAUUCGAUGCCUUAGAAAAAGUCCAGUUGAUCAGAGAAAGACUUUGGGCUGCUCAGAGCCGACAGAAGUCUUAUGCAGAUGUGCGCAAAAAGGAUCUUGAGUUCGGGAUUGGUGACUAUGUUUAUCUAAAGAUCUCUCCCAUGAAGGGAGUGAAGAGAUUCGACAAGAAGGGAAAGCUCAGUCCCCGAUAUGUCGAUCCCUUCAAAAUUCUCAGUCACUUCAGCAAAGUAGUUUAUGAGUUCGAAUUGCCUUCAGAUCUAGCUUUAGUUCAUCCAGUCUUCCAUGUCUCUUUUCUCAAGAAGUGCAUAGGUGACCCAACAGUUGUAGUCCUUAUUCAGAGUAUAGAUAUUCAGAACAACCUCUCUUUCAAAAAGAUUUUGGUCAAAAUUCUUGACUAUCAGACUCACAGACUGAGGAACAAAGGAGUCCCUCUAGUCAAAGUCCUUUGCCGGAAUCAGUCCAUUGAGGGAGCUACUUGGGUAGCAGAAGCAGACAUGCGUACCAAGUAUCCUCACCUCUUCUUCGCUAAUUCAGACUCAGCCCAAGGUAAUAGCUUUCCUUAAGCCUUUCAGUUUCAUGUUCAGAUUUCAGUUACAACUUGGUAUCUAGUUCAUGUUCAGAAUUCCAUCUUGGUAUCAAUUACCAUAGUAUAGUCAGCCAUGCAUUCAUGUAUCAGUUCAGUCAUGUAUUCAUGCAUCAGAUAUGUAUGUUCAGUUUGAUGAGAAACUCAUCUUAUCAGUAAUUUAGUCAUGCAGUCAUAAAUCCGUUAUUCAUGUAUCAGAUAUGCAUAUUAAGCAUAAUACAUUCAGCUUAUCAAUUAUAUUGGUCAUGAAAUCAUGUUUCAAUUGUUCACGUUCAGCAUGUGCUUCACUCUAUCAUUUCUCCCAUCUUAGUCAGUUUCAUUCGAGGACAAAUGUUCCCAAGGGAAAGAUAUUAUAAUACCCCGUACUUCUACCUAGCUUAAAUUCGUCCUAAAGAUGUCAAAGACAUGCUUUCAAUAUGAAUACACUUUUAUAUAUGUGAAAUUUUCAAGAUUUUCACUUUUUUUUUGUGUGGAAAAUUGAAUAAGCUUUCCAUCAAUAUCAAAUUCGGCUAAAUCCGAUAACCGGAUAAGAAGUUAUGACGAUUUAAAGUUUCAAUCAUAAAACACCGUCAUUUCAACCAGUGGCGCGCCGCGCCAUAAGCCAAAAUGACGUUUGUCAGUUUCCAGUAAGACUGUGCGAUUACACCGCAUUGCGGAGGGCUCUUAAAUCCAAAUUAACCUUUUUCUAGUGAACCUUCGCGAUGUCUCCGUGUCGCGCCAAACUUUCAGAUCGCAAACAAAGUGGAAACACGAUAGAUCCAUGUUGUGCCAUCUCCCAAUUUCCCAGUUGUCAAAUUCCAUAGACACGACGCGAUAGCACCGCGUCGCAUCAGCCUGCCAAAUUGGGAAAUUUUGAUAAAAAAUAAAUAUUUUGUCGAGGGAUAAAUUGGCCUUUUCCUAAGGUUUUAAAACGUCUAGCUGCGGAAUUUAAUCCCUAAAAAUGUUUUAAAUCAUUAUUUACUCACUUGUUUUUCCCCAAAUCAAGAACAUUCUCUCCUAAGAAACAAAAUCCUAGCUUUCAAGAAAUCAAAGCUAAUUCUGAGAAUCUCUCCAAGAACUUCAAGAAGCUUAUAAUCAAGGUAUGUGAAGUGUUGAUUCAUGGGUCCCUUUCACCCAUAAAGCUUAAGAAUCUCUUUUCAAAGUUCAAGUUUUUAUGAAUCCCAUGUUGGGUUUGCUUUUGUUCAUGUUGAUAAUGACCAAUUGAAUUUUAAUCCAUGUUUGGUAAUAAAUUUUAUGUGGAAUUAGUUAUUAUAUGAGUAGAUUCAUGUGAACCCAUGAUUAAACCCUUGAAUUGUGAAAUUACAAUUGAAUCAUGAUAUUUACUUGUGCAAUGUUGUCUACAUAUAUACUAUGUUCAUUAUGUGCUUGAUGAAUUGCCUAUGUGAACUAAUAAGAAAAGAAAUCAUGCCAUGAUUAGUUUAUGUGCAAGUGUUUGAUAAAUUAUCCAUGAGAAUUGAUUAAUGCCACGAUAUAGUAUGCAAUUAUGUAUUCCCCAUUCAUGUACAAGUGAUACACCCCAAGUGUUUGUUGAAAUGUCUUAAUGAAUGAAUCAUGAGUAUAUAGCCAUUGUUGGGCUUUUAGGUUUGCAUCAUGAUUUACAUAUUAUGCUAUCGAGUCCUGGGGGUAUCUAAUACCCGAAAAUUUAGUUGUGUGCCUAAAGCCAGUGUCAUGUUUUCAUGAUAUCUUCAAUUAAGCCAUGUUCAAUAGAAUUCAGUCGGUCAUGUGACUCAGGAAAAUACAGUAAUCCCAGUAAUCUCAGUGUUUCAGUAAUCUCAGUAGUAUUCCGUCAGUCAACGGAACUCAAUGAACUCAGUCCAGUUCAGUUCAGUUAAUCAUGUUCAGUGUCUAUUCAAAUGGGAGUAGGAUUUAGAACCGAGUGAACCCAAGGAUGAGGACACACACUGGCAGUUGAGGGUGUGAUCCUUAGAAGCAAUCUUUGCGUUCCAGAACUAUGUGGCCAACAUAGGUUGAGACAUCAACACUGACAGAUGAGGGUUGUUGAGGUGGAUAAACACUGUCAGAUGAGGGUCCCACUGUUCUCUUUUAGGGACACUGUCAGAUGAGGGUCACCCACAGCUUGUGUUUAUUAGUGGCGUAGUAUUGACACCCUUCCAAUUGGGGUUACAGAUUGGACCCCAACCUAUUUAUAUUGCUUUAUUUGGGAUAUGUCGGUUAGAUAACUAUUUCCCACAGUUACAAUUUUAGACUCAGUCUCAGUAAUAAAACUCAGAUAGGUCUUUAGAAUUUCAGGACUGUCAAAUAUAGUCAACUCAAAAUAGUACGGAACUCAGUUAGUUCCAUCAAAACCUAAACUGUCAGAUAUAGUCACUCAGUAUCAGUUAUAUCAGUUAUCAAUGACUCAUGCUAUCAGUAAUUAGAUUCAAUAGUAGUACCAUCACGAAUUCAGUCACAGUCACUUAUUUAUGCAUGUAUUCUCAUGUUCAUGUUAUUUAAUCAGUUAGCAUUGUUCAUGCAUUUAAACCCUUUGAAUUCAGCCUACCUUACUUGCAUACUAGUACAUUCAAAUGUACUACACAUUUAUGCUAUGAUGUUUUAUACUAUAGGUUCAGAAGCAUGAGCUCUAGAGCAUCAGUAACAUUCCAGUUUCAGCAUUCAGAGUUAGCUGUGAUUCCUCAUCCUUUGAGGACAUGAUCAUUACUUUAUUUCUUCAUUACUUAGUUUAUUUCAGUAGUUGGAGUUAGUUGGGGACAUGUCCCAUCAACUCCUUAUUCAGACAGUUUAGAGGCUUUCAGACUAUAGUAUUUUCAGACUAGAUAUUUUCAGACAUUAUUUUAGUUUUGGUAUUGUUGUACCACAUUAUUCAUAUAUGGUUUUAUCAUAUGUUUAUCAGUUUUGAACCUUAUGACAUGUUUCAGCCUACUAUUUCCUCAUUUAUACAGUAUAUUAUGCAGUGUUUAGGUACAGAUAUCAGUCAUGGGUUAGCUUGUGGUCCUUCGGGAUCAUGAGCACCGUGUAGCAAUCUGGGUACCAGAUGCAGGGCGUUACAAACUUCCUUCCUAAGUUGGGGUGUUAUAAAUAUUAUAAGAUCUGGAUCGCCGGUGAUUCACCAUCAAUUUUCUAGUCUUGUAAAAUUAGUAAAUUACUUAUAAACAUACUCCCAGUAUAUGGUUAUUCUCUCAGUGUUUUAAGUAAUAACGCUGGAUUAAUCUGUAAAUUCCUAGGGAUUUGAAAAGUUCUCUUAAAAAGGACUGUUGUUAUUCUCCCGAGGUAUGAUUAAAGAAGAUAUUACUAAAAUACCUAAAACCAAAGAGAAAGAGAUGAACAGGGUAUGAAAAAAGAAAUCAAAAAAUGCAAAAAUAUUUUAUUUUUGGGAAAAAAUAUACUUUGAUUUUUAUGACUUGAACACUUACACUGGACUAUGGACAAUGAAGGAGGGAGUAUUGAGUAGGAUUUUACACCAUAUAAAAACACAUCCACAUUAAGUCUGCUUUAUUUUCUCAUAACUACUAACCUGCUUUAAUUACUUUUCUUAACUUGUUUAUUUACUUUGCUUAUAACAUAUACUAAAACCUGCUUAUUAAUUAUUUGCUUUGUAUAAUUUAUUAUCUAUCCGUCCAGUUAAUUAUUAUUGUUAUCUAUUAUCUGUUUUAUUAUAUUCUCUAUUGUUAUUAUUAUUAUUAUAUAUUAUCUAUCUAUCUAUCUGUCUGUCUGUCUGUCUGUCUGUCUAUCUAUAUUGUAUCUAUCUGUCUCUAUUAUUAUCUGUUUUUAUUAUAUCUAUUCAUUUUAUUAUAAUUAUAUCUAUCCGUAUUUAUUAUAAUCUAUCUAUAUUAUAUUUAUAUUAUCUGUUUGUUAAUAUUAAAAACACCGGCGAAAUGCGGGCGAUCCAGAUCUUAUAAUAUUAAAGACACAUCUACUAACAAUUAAAUAUGUACACAUCUACUAAUAAUUAACUAUGUAUUAAUAAGUAAUGAAUUUUACAAGAUAAAAAAACUGACGGUAAACUGCCGGCGAUCCAAAUCUUAUAAUAUUAAAAACACAACUAAAAUAAAAUCUGAACUUGAUUAAUUCAAACAUAAUUUACAAACUUGAGUGAAAAAUACAAAGAUCUAUGUAAUGACUACUUACAUGUUUUAAAAAAGAAGUGAGGUUUCCCUUUCAGGAGUCUCCUGAAAACUUGACAGCUACCAAAAAAUGAAGAACUAAGAAACUAAUAUAGUCUUUUUUACACACUCUUUUUUUUAUGAAGAACUAACUUACAAACUUUGAAAACUAAGAACUUUAUGAAAAACUAAGAACUUUCUCACUCUUGAUUUUUUCUCUCUAGCUACUUAUAUUUAAGUCUUCCAAAGGGGGGUAUUUAUUGGAAUUUGUGGACUACAAAUACACUUUAAGGAUUCCAAUCCAUUUAUAUUUUAUAAGACUUUAGCAAGACUUUUGGAAACUUGGGUGGGGCCUACGAUCACAUGGCUAUGUCUUUACUUUAUCCAUUUAUUUAUUUAUCUGUUACAUCAUCGCGUGUCUGUAAUUUUGUCUUUCGUGGAUAUUGUCAUUACUUACGUAUCCAGAUUAUGUAAUGCUUCUGAAUCAAACUCCAUUUCUAAAUCUUCAUCGAUAUUAGGGUCUUGUGUAAAUUGAUCCAUGACUGAGUUGUAGCCUCGUUCAUACUCGUCACUGUCUUCAUUUGGAUAGUCCCACUCUUGUUUCUGCUCUAGGUGAUCUUGUCUCUUCUCUUGGAAUUAAGAAAAUUCUGGGUUUUGGCUCUAGCGGUUCUGGAUUCAUUGUUAUUUUUUGGACAGUUGUUCUGCUAACAAUUUUUUUAUAGAGUCCACUAUCAAUUUUUUCUAUAUUUCUUUUUUUCUCAAGAAAAAACCUUUUUUAGUCUGAGAAGGACUUCUUUCGUCUGUGGUUUGAGUACCUGUGUUCUUCAAACUGGCUGGGAGUAUUCUCCCUACACUUUUUGACAAAGUGUCAUCCAUCAAUGGAUUUGAUAAGUCUUUACCAUCUACCGUUUGAGCUAGACUAGCUGUAUCAUUACUCGAUACAGUAGGUCUUUCUAUAUUCGUUGGGGAAUGCACACCCAUUAACGGAUUUGAUAAGUCUUUACCAACUACCGUUUGAGCUGGACUAUUUGAGCUGGACUAGCUCUAUCUUUACUCGAUACGGUGGGUUUUUUCAUUUUUGAAGAAAAUGGAGAAUUUGUUAGAAUUUUUUGAGUUUAAUAAAUUGGCUGAGUCUGUUGUGAAAGUUCAAAAUGAAGAAUUUUUAUACGAUCUUGUAAAAUACUUAUAUGUUCUAAUAUUUGUCCUUUUUCAUUUACAUAAUUUUUCAUUAUCUUGUCUUAGAACCUCAUUGGCGUGAUUUAGUUUUCUAAAAGCUUCAGUCAUUAAGGAGCAAUGAUCAUAAAAUAUUAUUUUGUCCGUGUCCUUUUUAAUAUUAUAUUGAGGAUUUUUUUGCGUUUCUGGUCGUAAAGAAUAAUUUAGCUCUAAAUUUAUACAUGCAUAAUCUAAAGCCUCUGUUAAAUCAUCAAAGCCUUUAUAGAGAGGGGUUGUAUAAUCUUUUACAGAAUUCAUUACCUCUGUCCAUGUCUGAAAUACUCCCUGUGUCUUUCCCCUAAGAACAACAUAAAAUUUAAAUUUGUUAGUGCUAUUUUUCUCAGUAAAAUAAUAACUUAAAGCAUUCAAGACUGAAAUAAAGUAUCUAAUGUCUUUUGGUGUCUUGUUGUAGGAGAUCCAUAAUUUGUCGAUCAAGCAAAUCUGUCAUUUAUCCACCCUUACAUCUGGUUUCAAUUUGAAAAUUAGAUUGGAUGGCUCAUAACUGGCUAGAUUAUGAGGCCUAAAAAUCAGUCUUUCUGAUUUCGGAUGUUCCAACAUUGUUAGUGGCCUGUAACGAGUGUUGCUUAGUAAUUUGUUUAAGUAGUCUUGAGAGGAUGACAUCUUUCCUUUGUUUUUGUCUGUAUACAUACUGAAACAAAAAUUGUUAGUUGUCUUCUUUUAUUAGUCUACUUAGAUGAUCUGCUAGGUUAUUAUCUUUACCUUUAAUAUGUUCUAGAACAAUAUUAUAAAUUGAAGUGGUUUUUAGGAAAUUUAACCACCUCCUUUUACUACUAUUCUUCUCCUUUAUUUUCUGAUAGAAUUUUACUAUAACCUCGCAGUCUGUUCUUACUAAGAUUUCUGACUUAUUUAAUAUAUAAAGUUUAAAGCUAUUCAAAUCGUAAAUUACUGCUAAUGUCUCCACAUCUAUGCUAUUUAAUUUGCCCUUUUCUUUAUAUUCUCCACUUGAAUAAGCACAUAUUUUCUCAUCCUUUUUGUCACUAUAUUUGUUAGGCUUCGCUUUUAAUACUGCUCCCCAUCCUUGAAGACUUUCGUUUGUCUCAACUAUUAAAUAAUCUGUUUCUAAUGGUAACGUUAAGUAUGGGAUGUCUUGUAUCAUGCUUUUAAGUUGUUGGACUAAUUUUAUAUCUUCAGUAUUAAAGGUUUUUCGGCCUGUUGAUCCAGGACAAGUAUUUGUUAAGUGCUCUAUACUACCGCAGGUAAAACAUUCUAAUUUAUUUUUAUAGAUUCUAUUGGUAUUAUAUUUUCUUUUAUGUUUAUUCUUAUCUAGGUAUGGAUUCUUUGCAGUUGAUCUGGAGAAAAUAUACUUUGAUCUUUAUAAUUUGGACACUUACACUGAACUAAGGACAACGAAGGAGGGAGUACUGAGUGGAUUUUAUACCAUAUAAAAACACAUCCACAUUAAGUCUGCUUUAUUUUCUCAUAACUACUUACCUGCUUUAAUUACUUUUCUUAACUUGUUUAUUUAUUAAGAACAUAUUUUCUCAUCCUUUUUGUCACUAUAUUUGUUAGGCUUUGCUUUUAAUACUGCUCCCCAUCCUGGAGUACUGAGUAGGAUUUUACACCAUAUAAAAACACAUCCACACUAAGUCAGCUUUAUUUUCUCAUAACUACUUACCUGCUUUAAUUACUUUUCUUAACUUAUUUAUUUACUUUGCUUAUAACAUAUACUAAAACCUGCUUAAUAAUUAUUUGGUUUGUUUAAUUUAUUAUCUAUCUGUCCAGUCAAUUAUUAUUGUUAUCUAUUAUCUGUUUUAUUAUAUUCUCUAUUACUAUCUGUCUGUUUGUCUGUCUAUCUAUCUUAUUAUCUGUUUUUAUUAUAUCUAUUCAUUUUUAUUAUAAUUAUAUCUAUAUUAUAUCUAUCUGUAUUAUUGUCUCUUUAUUAUCUUUAUACAUCUAUUAUUAUAUUUCUGUUCAUUACAUUAUACUAUCUAUCUAUACUAUAUCUAUCUGUCUAUACUAUAUUUAUAUAAUUUGUUUAUUAUUUAUAUAAUUUGUUUAUUAUGACUUGGACACUUACACUGGAUAAGGACAACGAAGGAGAGAGUACUGAGUAGAAUUUUACACUAUAUAAAAACACAUUCAUGGACUCUUUAAUCAUAAAACAAAAUAAUAUUAUAAUUUUAUUACUAUUAGAACUUAAUAAAAAUAUAAAAGAAGAAAAACAAAGAGACAGUCAAGAUAAAGCUAUAGAUUCCUUCAAAUUGUAAAUUCAUUGAUUUUUUCUGUUUAACUUUAUUAUUUUCAACAAAUGUAUUUAAUAAUUCUACCUCUACUAAAUCUUUUUUCUCUAAUUAUCUCUUUGAUGUACACUCUUAUCUUUAAUUUUCUUAGUCUUUCUUCUAAUUCUAAUAUUCUGUCUUCUGUUGUUCUAGUUAUUAGUUCAUUGUUGUAAAAUUUAUUUAAAUUACAGGUUAAUUUUGGAGUUUCUAAGAUUUCUGAUGCCUUCUCUAUACAUUUUAUGCAUCCAAACGGAUUUGAUAAGUUUUUACCAACUACCGUUUGAGCUGGACUAAUUGUAUCAUUAUCAUAAUUCCAUUUUCUUUCUACUUAUUAUUAUUCCAUUAUCUACAAAUAAUUUAAAGACUUGUUGUAAAUUUCCUAAAUGUUCGCUCAUAUUAUUACUAAAAACUAGAAUAUCAUCUACAUAAACCAAUAUAAAAUUUUUAUAACCUCCAAAAAUACUAUCCAUUUUUCUUUGAAAAAUUGGAGGAGCCGUCUUUAAUCCGAACGGCAUGACCAGCCAUUUAAAAUGUCCUUCUGGACAUGUGAAAGCUGUCCAUUCUUUAAGAAAUCAAAAUUUAAUUUAAUUUUACUUGACAAAUUCUUUUGUUUGUUUUGUAGGUUUUCUAAUAUCUCUAGAGUUUUUAAUAUUUUUGUAUUUUCUUUUUGCACUUUUUUUUCUAGGUUUAUUAUAAAGUCUGUAAUAGUAUUUAGUUGUGGAUUAGCUCCAUGUAAUAUAUGUUCUCCGUUGUUAAAAUUACACCAAAUGUCGAUGAAGAUUCAGGAAUGGAGUUUGAUUCAGAAGCAUUACACAAUCUGGAUAUAUAAGCAAUGACAAUAUCCUUGAAAGACAAAAUUACAGAUAUAUGCGAUGAUGUAACAGAUAAAUAAAUAAACGGAUAAAGUAAAGACAUAGCCAUGUGAUCAUGGGACCUACCCAAGUUGCCAAAAGUCUUGCUAAAGUCAUGAUUUUCUCUCUAGGUACUUAUGUUUAAGUCUUCCAAAGAGGGGUAUUUAUAGGCAUUUGUGGACUUAAAACUUUGACUGUACUUAUCUCCUUUUCUUCAUUACAUACCAUCCCUUCAAAUGGUAAAUUCAUUGAUUUUUUCUGUUUAACUUUAUUAUUUUCAACAAAUGUAUUUAAUAAUUCUACCUCUACUAAAUCUUCUUCUCUAAUUAUCUCUUUGUUGUACACUCUUAUCUCUAAUUUUCUUAUUCUUCCUUCUAAUUCUAAUAUUUUGUCUUCUGUUGUUCUAGUUAUUGGUUCUUUGUUGUAAAAUUUAUUUAAAUUAUGGGUAAGGCUUUGAUGAUUUAACAGAGGCUUUAGAUUAUGCCCGUAUAAAUUUAGAGCUAAAUUAUUUUACUACCCCAUCUUUAAGACCAGAAACGCAAAAAAUUCUUCAAUAUAAUAUUAAAAAAGACACGAACAAAAUUAUAUUUUGUGAUCAUUGUUCCUUUAUGACUGAAGCUUUUAGAAAACUAAAUCACGACAAUGAGGUUUUAAGACAAGAUAAUGAAAACCUUGUAAAUGAAAAAGGACAAAUGUUAGAACAUAUAAGUAUUUUACAAGACCAUAUAAAAAUUCUUCAUUUUGGACUUUCACAAAAGACUCAGCCAAUUUAUGAGACUUAAAAAAUUCUAAAUAAUUCUCCAUCUUCUUCAAAAAUGGAAAAACCCACUGUAUCGGGUAAAGACACAGCUAGUCCAGCUAGUAUAUUUUCUCCCAAAAAUAAAAUAUUUUUGCAUUUUUUGAUUCUUUUGAUUUAGCUACGAAUUGAUAAAACAUCUUAAAAGGUGAAGACUCAGAAUUGAUUUAUAGUAUAGAAGAAAGUAUAAAAGAAUUUAUGGAAAGUGCAGCAAGCAUUGCAAGCCACACCAUAUAUAAUAAAGUCUCUUAGAAUCUUAGGGUCCUGAUACCAAUAAUAAACAAAUUAGUUUUUAGUAAUAAUAUGAGAGAACAUUUAGGACAUUUACAAUAUCUGAUUUUUGACUUCUUUUAAAUCUAUUAUCUACUUCUUGUAAUUCUGUCCAAAUUUCUUCUCUAGAUUCUAAAGAAAGCUCAAAUAACUUAAUACUUAACUGCCUAUGUUGUAGUAAUACAUUAUAUAAUUUUAUAUAUUCUUUCUUAAGAAUUCUAUUAGACCAAUAAUAUUAUGAAUCUAAUAUUACUAGACGUUUGUAAGGCCUAGGUUUACGUUUCUCGGUUCUUAACAACACCAUAUAUAAUAAAGUCUCCUAGAAUCUUAGGGCUCUGAUACCAAUAAUAAACAAAUUAUAUAAAUAAUAAACAAAUUAUAUAACUAUAGUUAGACAGAUAGAUAUAGUAUAGAUAGAUAGUAUAAUGUAAUGAACAAAAGAUAAUAAACAAAUUAUAUAAAUAAUAAAUAAAUUAUAUAGAUAUAGUAUAGAUAGAUAGUAUAAUGUAAUGAACAGAAGACAAAUAUAAUAAUAGAUGUAUAAAGAUAAUAAAGAGAUUAUAUAAAUAAUAAACAAAUUAUAUAACUAUAGUUAGACAGAUAGAUAUAGUAUAGAUAGAUAGUAUAAUGUAAUGAACAAAAGAUAAUAAACAAAUUAUAUAAAUAAUAAAUAAAUUAUAUAGAUAUAGUAUAGAUAGAUAGUAUAAUGUAAUGAACAGAAGACAAAUAUAAUAAUAGAUGUAUAAAGAUAAUAAAGAGACAAUAAUACGGAUAAAUAUAAUAUAGAUAUAAUUAUAAUAAUAAUAUAAUAUAAUAUAUAUUAACAAGCAGAUAAUAUAAAUAUAAUAUAGAUAGAUUAUAAUAAAUAUACAGAUAGAUAUAGAUAUAAUUAUAAUAAAAAUAUAAUAUAAUAUAUAUUAACAAGCAAAAUAUAAUAUAGAUAGAUUAUAAUAAAUACAGAUAGAUAUAAUAUAGAUAUAAUUAUAAUAAAAAUGAAUAGAUAAAAUAAAAACAGAUAACAAUAGAGACAUAUAGAUACAAUAUAGAUAGAUAGAUAUAUUUGGAAAAUACUCCCAAAUAUACCUAAACUUUGAUGAAAUUUGCUGUAACACGCCUGAACUUUGUGGGGUGGGGUCCUAUAACCCCUCUAGAACUUUGCAGGGGUCCUAUGAUCCCCUAAACUAUUUAUUAGCGUAUUUUACUGAUAUUUAUUUGCACUAAAUUCUUUUUUUAAUUUUUUUAGCAUUUUUUAUUUUUUUUAUUAGCAGCUUAUAAAUGUUACUAAAAUACACUAAUAAUUUUGUUAAAGUUUAUGUAUAGUUGAGACUAUUUUCCAUAUAUACAUANNNNNNNNNNNNNNNNNNNNNNNNNNNNNNNNNNNNNNNNNNNNNNNNNNNNNNNNNNNNNNNNNNNNNNNNNNNNNNNNNNNNNNNNNNNNNNNNNNNNNNNNNNNNNNNNNNNNNNNNNNNNNNNNNNNNNNNNNNNNNNNNNNNNNNNNNNNNNNNNNNNNNNNNNNNNNNNNNNNNNNNNNNNNNNNNNNNNNNNNNNNNNNNNNNNNNNNNNNNNNNNNNNNNNNNNNNNNNNNNNNNNNNNNNNNNNNNUAUAAAUUGUAAUUGAUGAAAAGAAUGAGGUUGUGAGUGGUCUCCUUACCUAAUUAUGCACGUGAAUGAUUUUCGAUUAGUAUUAUUCAUAUUAUUAUUGCUCUUGCUUUUCUAUGGUGGUUAUUUGAAUAUUAUUGAAAAGGUGUGAAUCUUCUCCUAAAGCUUUUACAAAGUUCAAGUAUGAGAAAUAUUUUUACCUAAACAAUCGUAUUGACUUAAAGAGCUUGACUAUUUGAUCUUUGAAUUAUCCUAUAAUGGUCAACGAUUCAUGACAUGUAAGAGGUGAAAUAGAACAUGUAAUAUGGCUUAUGGGACUUGCAAGUCUUGAUAUGACGAUUUCAAAUUAGACAAAUGUCGUUUCAGACUACAAACCAUGUUUUAAGAAAGAAGGAUGUUUUAAAUAGCUAAAAUAUGGGCUUAAAGAGAGUUAGGUGGCUAACCGAUAAGACAUGGGUCCAAAACCCAUAGCCCAAAAUCGUGUUUUUCCAAUGAGGAAUUGAUCCAGUCCUGAAAUACGGAUGAUUAUUGUAUAUUUGUUUUAUGCUUUGGUAUAUCAGACCAGACACUCUAAUUCUUGUGGAAAACUCAGAUUGGGGGCUUGACUGACGAGUCAAUGUCGGACCCUGCAUUGAUCGUGGGGUUUUUCAGACCAUGUCGGGUAUGCCACCUAACUCAGAAUUAAAGAACAUCCUAGUGUAGUCCCAGAAAGCAGUUUUUGAUUUGAAAUUCAUGUCUACAGACUGAGUUGAUAUUUUAUGACCCCAUAUUAUAAUUUGUACAGUGUUUUCACUGUUAAUGCUAUUUUAAAUGUUUUUUUAUUUUUACAUUCUACAUGCCAAUACAUUUCAAGUAUUGACCGUCCUCGAGCGACUGCAUUGUCUCACAAUAUAGGUUCUAAGGCUCAGUUUCGUGGUCUAUUUCAGCAGUAGAACCUUUUGGAAGUUUCAAAAUUGGUGAGCCAUCCAUAUCCCGAAACGCGUUCUAUUCAUAUGUUUUAUCUUUAAGUUCAUGGUCUGGCCAGGGGCCUCGUCUUGAUCUAGACAGUUAUUCAUUAAGUAGAGGCUUCGCCGACUGAAUUUAAUAAUUUUUUUAUGACUUGACUUUAAAAGUUUGAUUAUGAGAUGUCCUGAACUUUAUUUUUUCUUCCAUAUUGGAUGUGAAUAAUGUGUAUGAUGGUAUGCUAAUGGGCCUCUCAAGCUUUUGAGGUUUGUAACGCUCAUCACAACCAGGGCCUCAGCUCAGGUCAUGACAAACUUGAUAUCAGAACAUAGUUUAGGGUCAUAGGGUGUUUACGAAGCUGUGUUGAAUAGAGUACCUUUUAUAGGUGUGUAGCAUUCCACACUUAUAAGGGGAAGGCUAUAAGGCAUUCAGGAAUGUGUCUCUUUCUUCAUGUUCUAGUUUGUGCUAGAGAGUCUAGCUACAAUGAAAUCUUCCUAACCUUUGACUUUUUGCAUUUCAGAUCAUGCCUUCAUGAAGAUCUAAUGGUCCCUACUGGGGCAAAUGCUGAGGCGGUCUGCCCUACCCAUGGGAUGCAAACCCAAUACAGAGCCCGUGCUCGUGGCUUUACUUUUCCUCCUGCAGUUCCACUAGCCCCAAUUAGUCCUUUUAGAUCUCCUAUCACCAACAUUAACCGCACUCAGUCUCCACAGAAAAAAGUCUCUAAUGCUGAGUUCCACCAGUCCAUGCACAUGUUUGCUCAACUCGUGGCAUCACAAUUUUAUCAAUCUGUAAAUGUUGGUUUUGUUACUAGUUCUUCUGAAGUCACUCGGGUUGGUCAAUUUAUGAGGAUGAAUCCACCUAGUUUUACAGGGUCCAAGAUUUAGAAAGAUCCUCAAGAAUUUGUAGAUGAGAUAGAGAAGACAUUUAGAGUUUUGCAUGCUAAUGAUACAGAGGGGGUAGAGUUUGCAGCCUAUCAGUUGAAAGGAGUGGCUUACCAAUGGUAUGGUAUGAUGAGUGGGAAGAGUUAAGAGGUAAAAAUGUUGAAUUUGCAGUAUGGGAAAUUUUUUUGAUGCUUUCCUUAUUCACUUCUUUCCUUGAGAGUUGAGGGAAGCUAAGGUUGAGGAAUUUGUGAAUCUAAAGUAGGGUAAGAUGAGUGUCAAAGAGUAUGCAUUGAAGUUCACCCAACUGUCUCGUUAUGCCCUAAAGUUUUGUCCACUAUGAGGUCUCGUAUAAGGAAGUUCGCGUUCGAUCUUUCUAAUGAUUUUGUGUUAGAGUGUUAGGGGCUAUGCUGAACAGUGAUAUGGAUAUCUCCAGGUUGGUAGUGUAUAUGCAGUAGGUAGAGAAAGAGAAGAUUAGCAGGUAGAGAUAGAGGAUAGACAGACUAAGAGAUCUAGGUCUACAGAUCAGGAUGUCAGUCAACAACAGGGUGACAAAUGGGAAAGAAAUAGUCCAAGAAGAAAUUUUAGGGUGAUGUUCAGUCAUCAGCUAGUGCACCUACACCUAGUCAAUCAUUAAUUCCAGCCAAAUAAUGGGUCAAGGAUGCAAGGCCUACAGUCUCAGGGUAGUGUAGUGAUGUGCCAUAGAAAUAUAACACUUACGAUGCUUAAAAUUGGAAAAUAUGCAUGUACUUAAGGUUAUUUUGUUAGAUUUGAUGUAUUUUUGGAGUGUUUUGCAGGAAAUUAGGUUUCAGAUGCUAAAUUCAAGAAAAAGAUGAAAAGUGAUGUUUUUGGAUACUUAUUUAAUCUAUUAUAGAUUUUCGAGACACUUUUUGGAUUAUUCGUGACCAAAACAUGUGUCGAGAUUGAAGAAGAGCUAAAAGAAAUAACUUUCGGCACAUGCUAAGUCAACAUGCGAACCACAUGUAGUACAUGUGGACCGCAUGUGGGCAAAGCACGUGUCAGAAGUCCAAAAUCCCGAUAGCUAACCUGUAGGAAAUUUUGGUCCGAGCACAUGCGGUCACUACAUCCGCCCAGCCUGUAGGCCGCAUGUACCACAUGCGCCCAAGGCCAGGGCACAUGUGGAGACCACAUGUAGCCACCAACCUCAACUUUUCCAGACAAUUCCAAAAUCAUUUCGUAGGGUUUCUAUGUAUCCUAAUUACACUCCUAUGAUGUUUUUAAGUCUUAUUAUGUACGUUUAGUUAAGUUUUCAUAUUUUACUUAGGAUUUGAAUUCUAGGGUUUCUUGUAAUCUAUAAAUACCCUUUAGGCUUUGUUUAGUUUAUUCAUUCACACAUCCAUACAUUCACAUAUCCAGGUGUAGGCCCUUAGGGGCUACUUAUAAUCUCAUUGUUCUUGGUUUGUUUUUGGUUUGUUAUUCAAUUUAAGACUUUGGGAUUUCUUAUUUCAUUAUUAUGAGAUUGAUUUUGCAAUUUUGUCAGUGGACUCCAUGAUUGAUCUCAUAACUAUGAGCGGCUAAUUUCCUUAGCUAGAAUUGUGGAAACCCUGGAAAGUUAACAAAGUAGAGGAAGUGCCAAGUCGUUCUAGAUAAAUAUUCUUACAUGUAUUGGGUUUUCUUCAUUCUUCUUGAUUUCUUAGCAGUGGCGAACAUUAAGAUCCUGCCUAGAUUAUUACUACUUACUCCAAAAGAGGAGUAGUGACUAGGAAAAGAGAAUCACAAUAAUAAUUAAAGUUUUAACUGUUGAUCUACGCUACUAGUUAUUAUCUAAGUAAGUUGGUGAUCUAUCAUCUAAUGACUAGAGACUCAAAGGUAAUAGUUAACUGGGAUCAAGAAAAGGGUUAGUAAGGCGAUAUCCUGAGACUCAAAAGAUAAAGGGUAAAAUCUGUCAGCUCGUCUAAAAGACUAUUGAUGGUACAUAACAUAUCGAUUCUGUAUGCAAGAUAUUUUUAUAGUUUGACAGUUUAUGAUAAGUCUACUGAGUUGAGAAGUCAGGGGGAAUACAAGCCUACUGUUCGUCUUAGAUUGUUUAUAACCAAAAGCAACUAAGCCUUGUUGGCUAGUUACUAUAAAUCCCCCCUUUUUACUUUUCUGCAUUGCCUGGAGAUGUCAACAAGUUUGAGAUAGAUUUUUAGCCUAUUCCUUGUGGGAUCAACCCCAACCUAGUUAGGUUACUAUAUUUUGACAACGACUGCUUUAUCCUUCUAAGGAGUGGUAGUUUGGGUUUUAUCAAAUUUUGGCCCCGUUGUCGGGAAAAUAUGGUUUCAGAGUCCUUUAUUGAAGUUAUUAGUGUUGUCGGAUUUUAUUUUAUUUUUUGUUUGUUUUGUUGACCUACUCUUCUUGAGAUGACAACCUGGCUAAAGGAAAUAUAGAGUGAUGAUGACUCCUUCUUUAUUGAUCCUCUUUCUUUUGUUAUGGUGCAUUACUGCAUGAGUGUGAUAAACAUAUUGUUGGAACACAAUAAGAGCAUUCUUGACACAUUGGCACUUCUUUAAAAAAGAAGACAAGAUCAUAUUCAAAAGGUUGAUAGGCUUGGGUUGGAUAUCUACCACUUACAAGUAGAGUUGGAUGCAAAAGAUGCUGUGUGUAACGCCCAACAAAAUAGUUAUGGGUGGUGUGAAACUGAAAAAGUUCCGAGAAGUCAACUUGAGGAGUUGAAAUUAUAGGAGUCAAAAAUUUCUCAUGCUCUUAUGGAUAGUGUCACUCUUAAGGAGAACAUACUAGAAUUAUGUGGGAAUGUAAAGAAGACUACAAAUCAUGAGUUAGGGCGUGUUGGACCUCAUUCUAAGCAUUUCCACAUUGUGUUUGGAUAGUUAGAUCUUGUUCGAGCCCGAAGAAGAGUGCAAGGAAGAGGAAACAUAUGUUUAUAUUCUUGAAUUUGCUGAACCAGAAACAAAGAACUGCAUUCCUAACAUAAGGGCCAAGAAGUACAACAUAGCACAUCUAUUUCUUGGGACCUUUAUUUUUCUACCUCUGCCCCAUGAGCAUAAUGGGAACUUAGGAAAAUAAUUAGGGGUGCAGUUCAUAAGUUCAAAGUGGAAAGAGAAAAAUGGAGGCAAACUCUUGGGCUACCUUGAUGAAGUCUGAGUAAUCAAGGUACCCAUGGGCUUGUUGGGAAAGUAUGAGUACCCAACCAAGUCUUGUUAUGCCGCAACGUGAAAUCAAGCACUACUUGGGAGGCAACCCAAGGUAUUUUGUUGUUUGUAUUCGUAUUUGUAUUUGUCUAAUCGACGUCAGAUCUCCACACCUAUGGUACCACAAGUAUGUUCCUAACUCUUUUGUUUUGUAGAUGUUUAAUGCAUUGGGGAUAAUGCAUGAUUUUAAGUUGGGGGUGGGGCUGCUUGUGGGUCUUGAUGUCCUCUUGGGGUUUUUGUUGUCGUGCCUCUUUUCCUCGGAGUUCUGUUCCUAGUGAGCCAGCAUGUUUAGGUGUAUUGUGUUUUGUUUUGUGAUAUUUUGUUUAACUAGGAGAAAAAUGAGUAUCUAGGGAAAUUGACAUGUUUUUGUUAAUUUUUGAGAUAAAUGAUAAUAGCUCUCCAAUUUUCUAUUUUUAAACUAUGUGAUACGUAUAUAUAUGUGACUAUUAUGAAUAUUAUUAUGACACUAGGAUUAGGGACAUGAUAAUCAUAGCUACCAAUUGCAUGAAUUGGAUAGGAAGUAACUUAUGAUGUGACCCUGUGCCAUGUGUGUAUGAGAUACUACUUAGUUCCCUUUGUAUGUUGAAUUCAGAACUUGCCCGGUUAGUCUUGCCUAGGUUGUAGGUUAGUCGGUUAGAAAAGGAUCAUAGACCCUUUUUGAUGUUAAUCCACUUUUAGCCUAAAUGACCUUCCCACUGUGAAAUAGUAUCUCUUGAUCCCUGUUUUGAGCCUUAUAGCCUAUUUCUUUGUUUUCACUUUUCAACUUUCCAUUUGUGUUACAAUGAAUCUAUUUUGGACCUGGUCCUCCUUGGACAUUGUGCACCUCAACUCAGGCAAAUCACCUAAGUUGAGGGUGACUAUCAUAGGGGUGUGUAAUAUAAAGUGGGUGUGAAAAAGGGAGAAAUAAAAGAAAAAAAGUAGGGUUGAGUGUGGUAGAAAAAUAAAAGAAAAAGAAAAAGAAAAAAAUAGUGAAAAAGAAUAAGAAAAGCACACCUAACCUGAAUAUGAAACCACACCUAACCUGAAUAUGCUUUAAAAUAAAAAGGGAGAAAUAAGGGAGGAAAUUGGUUAAAAUAUGGACCCCAAAGUUAGUGUAGUGCCAAGGAGGCUUAGUCACUUGAUAUAUCUAUAUUUACCAUACCAGCCCCCAAACCUACAUUACAAGCUGAAUAAAGUCCUAUAGUGAUCCUAACUUGACUGUCUAAAAACUAAGGUAAAGAAAAUAAGGGCAAGCCUAUGGUAUUUGAUGCACUCUGAUUGGAGCUUCUUUUGUGAGUGUGAGUGUCUCUUGACCGUCCUUCAUUUACAUGCAUUAUUUUAUAUGAGUGAGUGGGACUUCUUUGCUGUGAGGGCACGCGGGUUGUAUUGCAAGCUGCUUACUUGUUUGGGUAGUGUUGUUUGUUGCUAAUGUAAUGCCAUAGCUUGAUUCCCUUAUGUACCAUUGUUGUGCUUCAUUGAUACACACAAUUGAUUUUAAAAUGAUUGAACUUAGAGAGGGUAAUGAUCUUGAGCUUAAAUUUGAUGAUUGUUUGCCAUAGGUAUCUUAGGUUUCGAUAUGAGACUCUUGUGUGCUAUGGUUGCGGUGAGGCCGAUAAUUUUCAGAGAGAUUUUCCCUCGGCCAAAGGGAUCUUUGGGGGUACUAAGCCCAAACUACUUCUCCAUCCUCUCUAGCUAAGGGUUCCACUUUCGGUACAGGCGAGGGUCGUAACCGUUUGUAUGGUUUAUCUACUCUUCAGGACUCAGAGGCCUCACCAGAUGUUGUUACGGGUAUGUUACAAAUCUUCUCCAAUGAUGUUUAUGGCCUACUCGAUUCCAGGUAUGCUCCAUCUUAUGUAACUCCUUGUGUGGCUGUGGGUUUUGGAUUUGGCCCUAAAAAUAUUUCCUAACCCUUGUUGAUUUCGACCUCUGUUGGUGAGUCUAUUGUUGCUAGAAAAGUCUAUAGAAAUUGUGUAGUGUCUAUUUUUUGAUCGAGAUACUAUGGUAAACCUUGUAGAGCUUGACAUGGUAGACUUUGAUUCGAUUCUAGGGAUGGAUUGGCUUCAUUCCUGUUUGCUACCAUAGAUUAUAGAACUAUAAAGGUUAUAUUCUGUUUUCCUAACGAACCUAUCAUAGAAUGGGAGAAAGAUUCUUUAGCACCCAAGGGAUGGUUCAUAUCUUAUCUUAGAGCCCAUAAACUGAUAUCUAAAGGUUGUUUGUACCAUCUAGUUUGGGUCAAAGAUUCCAGUACCGAGAGUUCCUCUUUUAGUCGGUACCAGUGGUUAAUGAGUUUUCUCAAGUCUUUCCUGAUGAUCUCCCGCGGAUUCCCCCAGACAGGGAGAUAUACUUUGGUAUUGAUCUAUUGGACGACACUCAACCCAUUUUCAUUCCACCAUAUAAAAUGGCUCCUGCGGAGCUAAAAAAAUUGAAGGAAUAGUUAAAAGACCUUCUUGAUAAAGGUUUUAUUUAUCCUAGUGUCUCUCCUUAAGGUGCUCCCAUACUCGUCGUGCAUAAGAAAUAUAGUUCCCUCUGUAUGUGUAUAGACUACUGACACUUGAAUAAGGUUUUUGUAAAGAAUAAGUACCCUCUACCCAGAAUGAAUGAUCUUUUUAACCAUCUUCACGGUGCUAGAUACUUCUCUAAGAUAGACCUUCAUUCAGAUUAUCAUCAGUUGAAGGUUAGGGAGGCCUAUAUCCCCAAAACUAUCUUCCAAACCUGAUGUAGUGAUUAUGAAUUUUUGGUCAUGUCCUUUGGAUUGACUAAUGCACCUGCAGGUUUCAUGGACCUCGUGAACAUGGUAUUCAAAUAGUUUUUUGGAUUUAUUCAUCAUAGUUUUCAUUGAUGAUAUUCUGAUUUACUCCAAGAGUAAGGAGGAUCAUGUCGAUCACCUACGGAUCAUACUUCAGACCCUUAAGGAUCAAGAGUUGUAUGUUAAAUUUUCUAAGUGUGAAUUCUGGCUUAGUAUAGUAGCUUUUCUGGGGAAUAUUGUUUCUAGUGGAGGGAUUAAGGUUGAUCCUCAAAAGACUGAGGUAGUGAAGAAAUGGCCUAGACCCGCAACUCUAACUAACAUUAGGAGCUUCUUGGGUCUGGUAGGUUAUUAUACGAGGUUUGUGGAGAGUUUUUCGUCUAUAGCUGCUCUACUUACUAGGUUGACUCAGAAGAAGGUAAGAUUUUAUGGUCCAAGGCUUGUGAAAGUAGUUUUGAGAGAUUGAAAGACAAGUUGACCAGUGCACUGGUUCUGACCCUUCUCGAAGGUACAAAUGAAUUUGUUGUGUAUUUUGAUGCAUCCCGAAUGGGACUUUGUUGUGUACUUAUACAACAUGGUAAAGUGGUAGCUUAUGAAUCCAGAUAAUUGAAGCUUAUACAACUACGUCAUGGUUAUGUUGAAGCCUUGGACCUUGUGAAGUAAGGAUGGUCGGCCAGCUCGAUUGUUAACACGAAUCAACUCUUUUGGGGAAUAAAAUAAAAGGAAAAGAAAAAAUAAAAUACAAAUGAUGUUAGUUUUAAUAAAAAGAUCAAGUAAAGUGUGCUCAUGUAAAUUUAGUAGAUUAUGUAGCAAGUGGUCAAGUAAAGUCAAAUAAAUUAUAAGAUAACAUGUAGACAAAUACAUCAAGCAAUAAUAACAUGUUCCUAAUAUGUGGGUGACUCCUUUAUGCCGGAGGUAGGUCUAAGCGCCAAAUAUUAAGCGACAUUUUGAUAAAUUGAUCCAAGCUUUAAUUAAUGACAUUACUUGAGUUUGGAGUUAAAAAAUUUUAAACUCAAUUUUGGACAAAUUUUGGCUUGGAUCAAUUUGUCAUUAUCUUUACUCAUAAUAUGAGGGUCGUCAUUGGGUUGUGAAACCCAUUUGACAUAAAAGGUGUUUUCCUAGUUGUGGAAUGACACCAUGGGUCAAGCCAUCUAAGGUUUAUGCAUGCAUGACCUAAAUCAAAGGUGGUAACGCUCUAUCUUAAGCUUUCUAAUAUUUAGGUAGUCGCAGACUUGAAUUUCCUAUAUGAGAAGGCACGUGGUCCCACGGCAGUAAAACUCCCGCUCACUCCACAUAUGCGCUGACUCUCUAAAGUAAGAAGAUUUGAAAGAAUUUUGGGAAAGUAUAAUCCACAUGUACAAUGUGUGUGAGUGUCAGUUUUUUGAAAUGGAGGAAAUAUAAACGGAAUGUCAAUUUAUAUAAAGCGAUAAACAAAUAAGCAAUUUAUAGCAAAUAAAUAAUUUAUGCCCCACAAACAUGAUAAAUCACGACAAUUAAGGUGAAACAAAUAACAAUAUAUAAAAAUUUAAAUAUUAACCUAAGCUUGUUAAGGUUAAGAACCUAAGUCCCCAGUGAAGUCGUCAAGCUGUCGUACUCCAUUUUUAUACGGGUCAAACCGAGGUACAAUAUAUUGGAAACCUCUAUGUAAAAUUAAGAAAGUCGUUACCUAAUCAGUAUUACGAAGAAUUAGGACACCCAUUAUAAACUAUGUGAUUAAAAGAAAAUAAGGACUUCAUUUUAGAUCUACACAAUUUAAAAGAUUCUAGGUAAGGGUUCUAAUUAUCCUAAAGGGAAGGGGAUUAGGCACCCUAAAGGAUCCGUCAACUACGAUUAACCGGCCGAACUUAGGUUAAUAAAAGAGCUAUGUGUAAAAGAUGAAAAAAAAUGCUAAGUGAAAACACUUGUUGAAAAUAAAAUUGAAACUAAAAAGUUGUAAAAAUAUUAUUUAUUCUUGAUUUGAGGAAAAAAAAAAAGGAGAAGGAUCAAUUUAAGUUGAUAAAAUAUUUUGGUGCCAAUAACACAAAUACUGAAAAAUGAUUUUUGAAAAAAAGUAGAACAACCCAAAACGUGUGUUACAACUUUUGAGAAAAAGAUAACUGACGCUAUUCAUUUUAGUUGCUACAAAAUUAUUUGUUUUACUCACAAAAAAACCAUUAUAGCUAAUUUGCAAAUGAAUUAUAUUUAGUUUUAAUGUUCAAAUACAAACUCUGAAAAUUCAAAUAUUCUAAGGUUGUGACAAAAUAAGGAAAGAUUUUGAAAAGAACCUUGGACACAAAGUAAAAUUUGAAGCUCGUGAAAUUCGAUUUGGCAAGAAAUCAUUUUUUGGCUCGAAAAUGUACCACACGAGAAAAUGCAUAUAUCAAAAUUUUCAAAAUUUGAUUAACCUGACCCGAAAUGAUUUGAACCAAAACUAAACGAUUAACUCACUGAUCUUAUGAACUAACAGGCCAACCCAUAGAUUACUUUUGCUUACAAACAACCAAAAGCCAGUCUUAUAUCUGUGGUCAUUUACUCCCAACUACUUCAAAAAUCAAACAAAUUAUUAAAACAAACACACAAGUAUUCAAUGUGAAACAAGCCAAAACAAACACACAAAUGUUCAAGAUGAAACAACUAAAUGAAAGUUAUCAAGUAUGACGCUACGAAUAAGCAGCUAAAGGAAGAAUAUAGCGGAACGUUUGACACUUCUUCUUACCUCUCUUUGCGAUUUCUAUUCGGAUAGAGUCUCUAGGGAGCGAGAGCUGUUUGUGAAGAUGUAUAUGCACGUUUCAACUCUUGCAGUGACGACGAGUUUUAAAGUAAACUCUUCGACUCCGAUGUCCAUGUAAGAAAAUUGAAUUAGCUAGAAAGAAUAUGAUAAAGAAAUGUGCGAAUAAAAGUUAAUAUAACUUGUGAGCUUACAACGCAACAAAUAAUUUUUAUAUGCUACGAAAAUUGACUAACUGAUCUCAUAUUUCUUUGACUCGAAUAAAUCUUUACAAAAACCCAUAUUUGGAACUCCCUUUCUAUGAUUAAACACGAGGAAUAGAUGGACUGCAAGAAAAGUUAAAGUACCUUAAAGACAAAUUUAUCUAGAGUUAAAAAGGGACUCUGAAGGCUCCUUUUAUAUCCAAAAUAAAGGAGGGCUUGCAACGGUUCUCUAGUUUGAAUUCUUGGAAAGCCCAAAUCACAGAGAGCAAACAAAGGGAUGAAAUUGGAUAUAAAAGAAAAAGAUUGAAUUUUUACCUUAGGGUUAAUUUAAAAAGGGAAAGAGAUGGCUUGGAAGCUUUUACUUUCGGACCCAUUAAAUUAAGGUUGGAAUCGAAGGUGAAACCACCUUGAAUCCAUUGAAUCUUCAAAUUUAUCAUCUUCUCCCUAAAUUGCAGAUUUUUGGCUCUAUUUUUGCUUUAGAAAAGUGAUGGAAGAGAUGGGUGAUGUUGACGGACAUGGAAAUAGAAUUGGGGAGAGAAGAGACCACUGGAUUUUCCAUUAUCCUGUGGUUUCGGGGUUGCUCAACGUCACUGGUGGAUAUUAUUUUUGUUGUUGCUUGUGUUGUUGUACAUUGGUAUUGUUGUUGGUGUGUUUUAUUGGGUAAGGAGAAAG